GUCGACUAUGGCAUUGAUAAAUGUUUUCUCCAGCUCCCAGCGUCCAAUUUCAGUGAACCAACAUGGACUCAACGCGGUGCGUUGGAUACCGCAUCGAUGCCAAUAAUGCAGCGCGUCGGCCUGCACAGUCAUUAAAAAGGCAUGUCCUCAGAGUUAAUUAAGUCUUUAUCCCACGCCCUUCAGCCCCCAUAACAAGAAAUUUAGCCCUCUUUUAGCAACAUAUAAUCAUUCUUUCACAAAUUUCUCAAGAACAAAAACACUAGGUGAAUUAAAUUCAAAUUCAAGGCAAAAUAUUCCACCGUUAAUUUUUCAGAAUUCACCAACUAAAGUUUGAAAUGAGAAAUCAUAAUGUCCAAGACAAACAAUUAGGAAGAAACACAAACAUCAAAAUCAAGUUCAGACAAAUAGAAAGAAGCCCACAUAAAACACAAAAUCAUAAUGGUUAGAACCUAAGUAUCUCCUAGCAGAGUCGCCAUGUUAGCAUGCCUCAUUUUUUUUAGAAAAAUGAGAUUCGAUGUGACAACUCUUUUAGGAUGGUUGAAAGAGAAAUGUCACCACCUAACGAAUUGAGGUACGUUAGGGCACCAUUCUAGACUAAUUAUGAAUAAUUUUAUCAGUUUAUGUCACCAAAAACUCGAUAAGGGUUCAUGUUAUCUCAAAAGGAAGGUGUUAGGUACCUUUCAAGGUUCGCAAAUAUGGGUUCGACAAUAUUCAUAUAUUACGUGGGAAUCCUACGGAAUAAAAAAAGGUCACUUAUUUUUAUAAACUUAAUGUUACUAAGUGAUAAAAAUAAUAAACAAACAAGACAUGUAACUUAAAUAUUUUUUAAUUAUUAAUUAUCUAGUUGAUGAGGAAGUACAUAAAUAAAAAUGAAUCAAACAAGCAGGGACAGAGAAAGGGCACAAUUUAUAGAGAAAAAUAUUUUUUAAAUAAUAAACCUAAACUACCUCCAAACUAUUAAAACUUACGAAACAAAAAAAGAACAAAUUCGAAAGGUUUGGACUAAAGUUAAUUUUAUCCAAUUACGAUCAGUGGCCGACUUAUUAACGUGUGACGAUGUCGGAUGUCGCAUUGUCAAAUUCUGCUCGAAACAACUUCCAUCAUUUUCUACUAUAUUCCCCCCCCCCCCCAACACACACCUAAUUUAGUUAUUAAGCUUAAAGGCGUUCUAUAAAAAUGAUAAAUUUAGUGUUCCCUAAAAUGCCUAUCCGUCCUAACUUAAUGUCUAGGUGACAUUGGACCUUCUACUUUGAAUUUGGGUCUAGACAAAGAAUACCUAGGAUUUCUUAUUAGACUCGAAAAUCGAAUUAGAUAUAUUAGACUCGAAAAUCGAACUAGAUAAGACAACAAGAAAAGCACUUAGCAUAUAAUAGUCUCAUAGAAAGCCUCUUGAUUAACUAAAAAGGGAUUAAGUGAAAGGCAUGCUAAAACAUACAAUUAUCUAUUUUUACAUAAUUAAACCUAUAGGUACGAUACCUAAGCAACAAAUAGCUGUUUAUUGACAAAAGACAGCUGGCAAUUCGCUUGAAAGUAAUAUAUUGCAAAUUCAUUAUGAUGAAACUAAAUAGACAUGUCAAAACCUCAAGUAUACAUGUCGGUGAAUUAGAUCAAUUUCAAUAUAAAGGAAAUAAGUUAAACAUAUUAAAAAUUAAUCGGAUUACUAAAAAGGUACUAGAAAAUAUGUUUUUAAGUACUGAAAAAUAAUUAAUAUGUUGGAGAAUAAAACUUAACUGCUGAAAAUAUUUUUUAAAUGUGGAAAGUAUCAUUUAAGUACUUGAAAUUGAAAUUUAAGAGCUGAAAACAUUAUUUAACAGCUGAAAAUUAAAAUUCAGUUAUUGAUUAUUAAGUUUUAGUUGUUGAAAAGUAGUCUUUUACUGCUGGAUAUUGAUAAACAAAUUGCUAAAAUUAAAUUUAAAUGUUGAACAGUAGUUUUUAUAUUGAAAAUUGAUAAAAACAUGCUAAAAUUUAAAUAGACAUGCCAAAGUACGUGAAGUGUUGAAAAUAAGUUACAAUAUCCAAAAAUUAGCUAAAGAUGUUGAAAUUAAUUUCUUGCGGAUUGACAGUUAAUAAAUAAUUCCUAAAACAUGAUUUCUAAGAGAUAAAAUAAUUUUAUUAAUGAUCCUAGAAUAUGUUUUGCCUAAGUGAUAAUGUAGUUCACAUAAACAUUUAAAACACAAAAUCUCUAUCCCCAUAAACGGUCCCCAUAAUUUCAUUAUGUACAUCAAUGUUUGUACAAAUUAUUACCGACCCAAAUUUUAAUGAAGAGAAAAUAGUGAAACUGCUAGACAUCUUUUAGGCAGCAACAUUUUAGCACGACCCAAUCUAUGCUUAAUAUGGUAUCUGCUCAAGCACCAUAAAUACACAAACCACAAACUAACCGGCUUCGACAAUAGACCCAUAAAACCCACAAAUAUGUAUCCUUACAUUUAUUACUAAAAGCAGGAACCAAUCAUUCAUAGGUAGCAUAAAAAGUAAUUUUACAAGAAUCAAACAGUCAACGAAGCUAUAUCACUAAAAGAGAUUAAGAAAUGCUUAAAAAGGGAAUUUAACUUACAAAUGAUAAGAAAACUAAUCGAUUAAUAGUGAUAAACGGAAGAAAGAAGAGAAGAACCAAACUUCAAUUGCACUCCAGAAGAGAAUAACACGCAGCAAGAUAAAAGUUCAAGAAUAUUUAUGUAUGAUUAGCCAAAAGCUAAAAAUGUUGUUGGGGUGUAGAAAGAAAUAGUCUUCAGAGCAUGGGAUAAAGGAGGAAACCCCUUUUAAUAGUCAGUGACUUGUUUAAUCAUACAGAAAAAGAGAAAUAAGAUUUAUCAAAUCAAUCAAAGUAAAAAAAAUUUCAAGGACGGAAUCAAUUGCGAUUCAAAUUUAUGAUACUUACCAUAAAUAAAUAAGUAAAGAAAAUUUGCUAAACUUAUUAAAGUAAAACCAUGAAGUGUGUAAAUUAGUCAAUUGCCAUAUUAUCCCAUUUUAACAUAAUUAAGCACGUAUGAGAUCUUUCAAACUAAAUAAGGGCAAGAAAAAUCAAAAUGAAUUAAUGGAAUAUUUUCUUAAAAGAAGCUAAGUAUAAUCAAUUUAGGGAUAGAAUAGUAACCAAAUACCGAGUGAAAUCUGUUAAGCAAAAUAUGCACAUAUAAGAAAUUCCUUAUCAUUCAAGGAUUCAUGUAAUAUUUAUCGAAACAUGAUGAAGUCCUCAAAUUGUCGUACCUAGUACAUGUAUAGACUUACAUUGAGCAAACAGAUACAAUUUUUCACAAAACCAAUAUGCAGCAUUUUGAUGUGAAUUUGACAAAUUAGGGUUUAAAAAUAAGUCACAAAAGUUUUGGGGUUUUCACAUAUAUCAAUCUAGAGGUGUAACUAAACACAUAAUUAGAGUAAUCGGAUUAAGAUUAAAUGCCAAACACCGUGAAUUUUUAAUCUAAGAAUUUGAUUUGGGUAAUUCGCAAGCAAAGCAAAAAAAACAUGAAAUUUAAAGUAUUAAGAGAUCAAACCCAAAAAUAAUCAUUGUGGAGUUCAUUGAAAACAUCGUCGAUCAUAACUCCAACAAGGAGGUAAGACCAAAAAGACAGUGAAUAAGAGGAGAGGGAGAAGAAAGGAUAGCAUCAACUUGGUGGGUGUUUCGUCGGCUGGAAGGUAGCCAAAAACGAGGGAAGCAGUGGCGGUGAUUGGUUGAAACUCGCCGGUCAUCAACUCCAAUGAGUCGACGGCAUGAGAGAGGAACAUGGAGAAUGAGGAGAUUGCCGGUGGUGGGUGAAGCAGUGGCGAGAUAGAGAGGGGAGGAAGUGAGGGGCAUCAAUUUUAUCGACCGGUUAUUCGUGGAGACGCUAGUGUGGGUUCGCUAGAAAGGGCGAUGCGCUACUGGAGGGUUUGAGAAAGAGAAAGAGACGGGUUUAAGAGACAGAAAGGGU
rnacentral:lncRNA from 1 species